UGUACUAUUUAGACAUAUGCUAAAACAUAAUUGAAGUGCUGUCAUGAGCAUGCCAAGCCAACAAACGGCGACAUCACCCCAGUAGCGCAAAG